CAACUAUACUGAUGCAGGUACCUUUUGCAAAUGGUCGCAUGCAGUUGGGCACAUGGAGGAGAGAAUCAUUUUUCGCAGUAUCCUCAAAACCGUGUCUUUUUGACACAACUGCUGACAGCUACAGGGACAUAAACACAAAAAUGCUGCUUGGAGACAAGUGUCCACGAUAGUAGGAUUGCCAGGUCAGUUUACUAGUGAUGUUGUGCUAGAUGUGGCUAGUUAGCGUUAGCUAGCUAGCUAACCUAGCCAAUGAGGUGUGUGUGAAAUAAAUAGUCAAAUAAAUUAUGCUAGUUACUACCCCUGAUAACUUUACCAAAUAAUCAUGUUUGAAAGAGUGAGAGUGUUUAUUCUAGAUAAAUAGCAAUAGAAAUGGUAGAUACUACUGUACCCCUGAUAAUUUGGUCAGAUAACCGUGUGUGUGUGUGUGUGUGUACAGUAGGUGACAUGUCCAUGAUAGCUAUCUAAUAACUAUAGUUAUGCUAGGUAAUGGUUUGGCUUAUCAUGUUCAUGUCUAUGUAGAAGAAGACUGUAGGAGGAAGUGGAGAGGACUCAGGGACCGGUAUCAGAGAGAGAGAAGGGCAGAGAAAGAGAAGAAGAGGUCUGGGUCAGCAGCCUUGGCGCUUCUGCCACAUUCUUUUCUGGAUCCAUUUAUUGUGCCUAGGACAACGAGUGGCAAUUUUACAGCUAGACCCUCUACUACGUCAUCCACAAGUGUUGUUGCCACCGGUGCAUCAAGACCCUCAACGUCACCUACAAAUGCGACCAUCGCCUCCACCGGUGGAGUGAGACCCUCUACAACAUCUACAUCAUCCACGAGUAUGACCACCACUGGUGCAGCCAUGGAAGAUGAUGAAAUGGAGGAAUCACCUCUGGAUCUAGGACCACCUGAGAUUAUUAUGAACCUCACGGAAGUGACCACUGAGGACCUUGUUGAACAGGAUGUGGCCGUGGAGAGAAACGAAUAGGAACAUCACACCAGGCGUCAUCGGAGGUACCAGAUCCACUCAACUAAUUUCAGCAGAGGCUCCUCCAAGCCGUCGAGAGGGAUGCAGCCCAACCUGAUGCUCACUGGAAGGAGGAUGAAGAGACCCUCUUUGCCAUGAGCUUGGUGCCAACACUGAAGAGGCUGCCUCAGAAAAGAAAAGCAACAGUCAAGGUUAAAAUGUAUCAGCUGAUUUUCGAAGCUGAGUUCAAUGAAAUGGAGUCAAUUUAGCCGACCAGCUCACAGGAAGGACAGGAAGAGGACAGGAGUUGUCUGGCUGUUGUUUUGACCUCCCUCGUUGUACCUUUCUUUUCACACACACGUCAGUUCUGUUUAAAUUCAGUCAAUUCAUAAAGUCAUUUGUUUAUAAAGUCUUAGGACAGCAUUCAUUAUUAGUGUUACAUACAUUUCUGAAUUGAAACUCAUACAGAGUUUUCACAGAUGCUCUUGGUCUCUUACGAGACUAAAGGUGAAUAUUUCUUUCAUUUAAAACCACUUGAAAACCAGGGUGUUGAAACUGUUUGUGAAGUUAUGUUCCAUCGACUGGUCCAUGACGUCCAGAGGCCAUUUGUUUGUUUAGCUGUGUUAUGGCUACAUAUUAUUCCCUUUUUCCCAGAGAAUGAGACACACACACACUCUCCUCUCUGUACCUCGGAUCUCCAGUGCCCUGCCCUCUCUCUUUAUGGCCAUGUCUGAAGUUCCCCUACUACGUCUAGGCUUUAUGAGUAGUCCCUGUAUCGGUCUGCAGUUGUGCCAAAAAUACAUGCUCUUGCUGUUCUCUUACAGAUUACAGGCUACACAUUCAUAACAAAUAAAAAUGUACACGCACGCACACACCUCUUUCAAUAGUUUUAUUUUUUUAAACAUUUUUACAACACACAUACCUGUCAUGUUCCUUCCUGUACUUGAAUACUUAUUAAAUUAUAAUGUUUUCAUAGUCAGUUGUUUAUUAAUAUCUAAUUUAGACUUAAUCUGCUUAUUUCUUCCCUACACCUUUGCUGAUCUAAGACAAUAUGAAAGUAAAAACAUCCAGCAUAGGGCCUCAUGAGGUUGGGUCUUAAAGGGAAGGCCUCAUCGCCGACGAAGACGUGGGGAACAGGUCCCAGGUCUUCAGCCCCAGGGAGUGAUGCAGGUGGUGGAAUAUCCAGGGUGCCAUCCUGAAGUGCCUGGCCAAAGGCAGAGUCUCGGAGGGUCCCGCCAUCACUUCCCUUGCCGUAAGCACCAACAUCGACAACACGGAAACAGUAGAUGGCAUCUACCACAGCCAAGAGUACAACUGAAUAUGUACCCUUGUAGUUGUAGAAUUGCGAACCUGAGCACGGUGGAGCCUGGAUUACUACAUGUUUCCCGUCAAUGGAGCCAAGACAGUUGGGGAAAUUCCACCUCUCCAGGAACUCGGCAGCGAUGGCCCUCCAGUCUUCCUCCUUAAGGACAGGCAUGUAUUCACCAGCCAGACACUCCCAAAUGGCUUGCGCCACAGAGGGGACAAUGCCUGCCACCGUGGACCGUCCAACUCAGAAGCUGAAUCCUAUGGUCCUGUAGGAGUCCCCUGUUGCCAAGAAUCUAAAAUAUAAUUAAAAAUAAUGAUCAAUAUUGUGUAUAACUUUAAUUCCACCCACAUAUUAUAUCUACUCAUAUAGCUACCUCAUUAAUGUUUAUUAUGCUUUACUAAUUAUAUUGUAAUACUCAUCAACCAUCAUUAACAAUGCCUUGAAACAGUACAAUUCAGUCUAUGACUAUAUCAAUAAACUGUAGUCCAGGCCAACUCUACUCUUAGAAAGAAUGGUACUAUCUACUUACAGGGUUCUCUGGCUGUCCCAAUAGGAGAUCCCUUUUAGGUUCUAGGUACUACCCCUUUUGGUUCCGAGUAGAACCCUAUUGGGUUCCAUGUAUUAAGUGUUAUACCUGGAACCAAAAAUGGUUAUCAUAUGGGGAAAGCAGAAGGACACUUUUGGAACCUUUUUCUCUAAGAGUGUAUGUGAGUCCAAUAAGAAUGUAAUGAAUGACUGUAACUGUCUUGAACAACAAUGGGUCCUGGAGAAGACUAGCCUACCUUCAUCAGGGCAGAAGGUGUUAUGGGUGUAAGAUGGCACAGUGAUGCCAUCUGUUGGUAAAUGUUCAUUACUGCAACUCUUGUGUUUUACCGGGGUGCUUGAGAUACCCGGAUGUGUUGUGAUGUACUGAACAAGACUGGUUACUCGCAUCAAUGCCUCUGUCUCGUCAUUUAACAUUCAAACAUGGUGUCAGAGUCGGAUAACUAACCAUGCUUUCCGCAAAUUAGAGUCACCUGCUCUGGUUUACAAACAAAUGCUUAUUUGUGUAAAAUUUCGCCCGGAAUUGGCCUUAAGCUAGAGUGAGUUUGCUAGUUAGCUUCAGUGUUGUUAGCACCGGUUAGACAUGGCAGCGAACAUUCCCCCUCCCGCCGUUAUGAAGCUCAGCGGGGAUUGGAGCACGAACUGGGAUACGUUUAGAGGUGAAUGGGAGGACUACGCGCUAGCAACGGGACUUCUGGAAAAGGAAGAUGAGGUAGUGGCUGCCACUUUGAGGACUAUAAUGGGAACUGAAUGCCGACACGUAUACAAACACAACCUGAACCUAACAGCAGCACAGCAAGGUAACGCUAUAGCUAUUCUUGAUGCUCUUGAACAUUACUUUACGCCAGCAAAGAACGUCAUCUACGAGCGUUAUGUUUUCGGUCGUUGCAAACAGGAGGACGGGGAGUCCAUUGACAGCUUUGUCACUAGGUUAAGGGAAAAUGCAGCUACAUGUGACUAUGGUGCUUUAAGAGAUGAACUGAUCAGAGAUACGAUUGUGCUUGGCAUAACGGAUGAAGGCACCCGCAGACGUUUGCUGAGAGAACGUGACCUGAACUGUCUUGAACAACAAUGGGUCCUGGAGAAGACUAGCCUACCUUCAUCAGGGCAGAAGGCACCGUUCUUUUCAUUUGGUAACAUUACAUAAUUGAAAAAGGAUUAUAAACCAACUUUGGGAAAAGUUAUAGUCCCAAUGAACAUUCUGUAAAAGUACAUCUGAUGUCAAAUAGGGACUAUUAACUAGAGCCCUUUAGCUAGCUAGGUUGCACAUAAAAACAAUGUGUCAAAUAUCAAUCAAUUAUGGUAUCAAAGGCUUUAAAAAUGUACUAGAAUGUAGCUUACCGAAGACAAAUUGGCAGGCGUUCAACUGGGCUGAUGGACUCCCGGUAGUUGGUAUCCAUCCAGUGAUCCUGGCUCCAACCAUCUGGAGCAGGUGAUCGAACUGGCUUCGGUCCAGACGAAAGUAAUUUCGGAAUUCCUCUCAAAACAGUCGAAGCUCUUGAAUUAGACAGUAGAAUUCCCCUGCCUGCUUUCGGGACUUUAACCAUCUCUGGAUCCACACAGACCUGCGCUUUCGGCGGGGCUGGUCCCGGUCCAACAGUGCGAUCAAGACCACCUUCCUCAACGUUGAUCUCAUUGUUGAAAGAGCCUACUCUGCUAUCUUGACUAUUUAUUAUUGCAUUUCGCUCGAAAAUUGCAUUUUGGAGGGAAAUUAUAUUAUAGGCUCUCACAAUUAAUUUAUGGAUGUCAUCGAAUAAAUAAUAUACUUGGUAAAUAAAAUAAUAAUACAUUUGAA